GACAGAGGGUGCAAGCGUUGUCCGGAAUUAUUGGGCGUAAAGAGCUCGUAGGCGGUUUGUCGCGUCUGCCGUGAAAGUCCGGGGCUCAACUCCGGAUCUGCGGUGGGUACGGGCAGACUAGAGUGAUGUAGGGGAGACUGGAAUUCCUGGUGUAGCGGUGAAAUGCGCAGAUAUCAGGAGGAACACCGAUGGCGAAGGCAGGUCUCUGGGCAUUAACUGACGCUGAGGAGCGAAAGCAUGGGGAGCGAACAGG
rnacentral:rRNA from 1 species